rnacentral:rRNA from 1 species
UACGUAGGGGGCGAGCGUUGUCCGGAAUUAUUGGGCGUAAAGAGCGUGUAGGCGGUUCGGUAAGUCUGCCGUGAAAACCUGGGGCUCAACCCCAGGCGUGCGGUGGAAACUGUCGGACUAGAGGAUGGUAGAGGGGAGUGGAAUUCCCGGUGUAGCGGUGAAAUGCGCAGAUAUCGGGAUGAACACCAGUAGCGAAGGCGGCUCCCUGGGCCAUUCCUGACGCUGAGACGCGAAAGCGUGGGGAGCAAACAGG